CGGGGCGUGGCGCAGCCUGGUAGCGCACUUGGUUUGGGACCAAGGGGCCGGAGGUUCGAAUCCUCUCGCCCCGA
rnacentral:tRNA from 2 species